rnacentral:lncRNA from 1 species
AACGGACUUCAUAUGAAAGGCCAUGUAUAUGAGCAAUUUCUAUUUCGUUUGCGUAAGGUCACUGUGUCUGUGUUUUUUGUUCGUGCUUCGUUAAUCCCGUUGCUUCGCCACAUGUGGAACUUAGUCAUCACUUUGGUAGGUGUGUGUUAUUCUGUGGCAUAUUCAACUGAACGGCUUUGUUGGAGAUGUAUUUAGCGGGGAGCUAAUAAAUGUUCAGUGCGUUCUGUUUUAAACAUCUUUUGGCUACUCGUUAAUAAACUGAAAUUUGCCAUUUUUUCGUAACAACCUGAGGGACACUCUUUUUCACGACACACACGAUUGCUUGAAGAUUGAUUUUCACUAGACGUCAUUUGAAUGGUGCAGUUCCUAUCCGCAGCCCUGCAGUGUGCAAAAAAAGGCAAUGGAAAAAAUUGGUAGCUGCUAGUGGUGUUGAUCCGCACAAUGGUGGCUUCAUGUAAGCAAUCUUGAAAUGACCUAUCAACACUAAACUGUUAUUGAACAUAGGACUACAGCAGUAUUAAAAGACUUCCCCUACGGAAAUUGGGAGCUGUGGACUUUCUUUAAAUGACUCUUGCAUCAGAAAUAUUUUCCUGCUUCUUGGAACAAGAAACAUAGGUUGUCUUGAUGGCAAUGAUGUGUCAUUGGAAAGAUUGUAUAAAGAUGUCAAGGAGAAACCUAAAGUUGGAGCAUAAUACAUUUGUUUCCCGUUACUAGUUAUGUAUAACAGAUGCUUUCCAGGCAGACACCCAUCCACAGAGCCAUGGGAGAUAGAUGAUGUCACGGAACGCCGUUUGAUCCAUUUUUUUAUAGACAACUCUUAUCGCUAGCUGAUCGUUUAUGUAGCAAAAUAAAUAGAUAACUAGCACUGCCAUCUAACGGUAAAAAACGACACGAAUAGGAGGGAUUUUAAUAGACCACGCCUUCAACGAAGGAGGAGUCCGCUACAUAUUGAAUUUAUCGAUCGAUUGUUAGGCCCAUUUUCAAUCGCUACUGUACAGUCAAUGGCGGUAUGGCGGAGAUGCACAAUGGAACUUGAAAGUGGAUGCAUGUGCGACUUGAUGUGGCGUUGCAUGUGGGAGGCCCCGUUGGUAAUGUUUGCAGACUGGACAUUUGAUGAUAAGUGUGAAUAGUGGUAGUGCUUUGGUGCCUCAAGAGGGAAUCGCAGAACAUAGCCAUAGAGCUAGAAGUCAUUGAAGAUUUUAAAAUUGUUAUUUGAUUUUGUGUUGUUUCAGCAGUAGUAUGUUCUUCAACAAUCUGUUAUGUCCAACCAUGGAAUGAGUUGCAUGUGACUAAGUCAACCAAACGUGGCAACAACAAUUAGUCAGCAAUGGAAUUAGUCAGUGGAAAACAACACCAUGGUAUAGAAUAUAAUAUUAUACCAUGACAACACAUUCAUUCCUGAGGAUCGUUUUGAUUUAUCUAUGCAUAUUGUAUUUUAAUUUUUAUUGUUAUUAUUUUAAAAUUAAUAUCUGAGGUUUUUCUUUAGCAUGAUUGAAAUUUGCCAUGUUUUCAGGCCAACUGGAAGGAUUCCUCUUUUUCACAGAACUUUACCAUUUUCAUGGUAUACUUAAUUGCUUGUCAGUGGAUUGUCACUUGGCAUCAUUUGAAUGGUAUGGUCCAUAUCAGCAAUGUUUUGAUGCACUUCUUAAAUACACCAAUCCCUCAGAAAAUAUUCUAAUUGAAAUUAUGGAAAUUUCUGCACUUCAUGCAGAACUGCACAAUGAUGGGUUUGUAUAAACAAGCUUGAAAUGACAAACCAACAGUAUUUUUGGUUUGGGUUACACAUACAGUUCUAUGACAUGUUGAUGUUAGCUAAAUCAUUAUUAAUCAUAGGACUAGGUAGUAUGAAAUGAAAUAUCUUCUUUUGGAUGUUUGUGUCUAUGUAUUUGUUUGAGGUGACUCUUGAGGCAGGAAGCUUUUCCUGCUUCUUAUGAAAAGGGACACUGGAUGUCUUAAUGUCUAAUACCAACCAAGUGUCAUUGCAAAGAUAUGUCAAAGAUAUAUCAAUAUAGAUUAUAUUCUGAGUGAUGGUGACAUGGUAAAAAGAGAGAGCAGUAUGAAUAUUUGCUGCAUCAUUUACUUCUAUUAUUUAUAUCUUCAAGGUAUCUUACUGAUUUCUAUUGGUUUUAUUUGUGGAAAGAAUAUCUUGAGGGGGAGAAUUGGAUCACAAUUAACUAGAUGCUUUACUAUUCUAAAUGAGUUUAUCACAAAGAAUUGUUUACUCAUUCAUGUUCUGUUUCUGUAAUGUAGGUAGAGUAAUCGCAAUGCCGUGGUAGUAAUUCGCGAGAGAUAUGCCAAUAGGGUUUCGCUGUUUUCAAUUCGCAAUCGUAAUGGAUUCGAAGAGGAUAUUGAUGGAGUUUUGGUAUAAAAAAGUAUAAGUACAUGUUUGUUGGAAUUGAAAAACCGAAGAGUUCCGGAUCUUUUUACUAUCGCACAUGUUAUGUGGGUGUAAAACUAAAGGCUAAAAGAAGAAGAAUGAUUCAAAAAUUGUGGGAUAGAAUCAUCAAAGAAUUAUACUCUUCUAGGUAAUCCUUUCGGAUUCGAUUCCGCCGUUUGUGCUGCCCUUCUCCAUAAAGCACUUCUACAGAGUAACGACUCGUCGCGAGUGCAUGACAUCCAUAUUGAUAACUGUUUCUUGCGUAAAGACGAAUCCGAGCAAGUCGUCACUAGUUUACAGCAACUCGGGUUCAAUCUUCCGGUAAUUUGAGAUACUUUUCUUUACCGUCCAGAAUCUUAUAAUUGGCCAAAAUUUGAUACGAGAUUAAUUGAUAUGUCGUCCUGUCACAUCUCAAAUUCUAUGGUUAAUAAUUCUUGUUCUAUAACCGAGUUCUUUUCCAGACAGUGGCUUCUCAUUUCUAUUGUCAUACCAGCGAUCAGAUUUGAUGUUUCGAAUUGUUUUGGGUUGUAAAAGCAAGAUUGACUUUCUACGAUGCUUCCACCAACGUGCAUGGUCGCCUAACUUUGUCGUUGUGUCGGACUGUAAAUCCGGAAGAAAAACGUCGAAUUAUUGACGAUAUGUUUGUCAAAGUGAUAGAUAGAACGGCUAACGAUUUAAAUGUCACUUGGGAUAAUCUACUUUUCGUAAAAGCUUUGAGACCGUAUUUAAUUGAGUCCGCUUCGCAUAUGGCUUCUUCGCGCGCUGAUGCCAUAAAGGCUCAUCAUAACGAUUCCGAAAUGGCUCGUUAUUCGGAAGUUCGUUUUGUUUGCGCAUUUACGGCCGUGUAGUGGAACCUCUUAAAGACUUCCAUAGAGAUGAAGUAAGGUCCUAAGUAUUAUACCAUGGUUUUACCUACAAAUGUUAAGCGUUUCGUGCUGCAACUAGUAGUUGAUAUUCUAGGAUGUUAUGCCUAAAAUUGAAAUUCAGCUAUCAGAGAUUAGCAAAAUUCAAGUGGAUACUCUAGAUGGCGUUGAUUGUGCGUCUAUGAUGAAGAUCAUGAGUGACAAGUUAAAUGGAUGUUUGUUACGUUACCCUGUUUUAUGUGUUUCAAAGGAUUUUUCGUCAAAAAAACUACGAUUGCAAUUUUUCUGUGUUGGUGUUUCGCCUUGUCAGCUAUGCCAGCUGCUUAACCAGCAGCCUGCAUUCCUGCUAUCAAUGUACCACAAGAGAUCCUGACACUUUGAGAAUGCCACUAUUGCUUACAUCAAGAUCACUUUCCAGUUCAAGUACUGUUAAUGGACCUCAAGCCUUUUGUUUAAGCUUAGUGAUGUGUUCUCUCGUGAGUCAACGACAGAGUCUUCAUCUACUUUGUGUUGCUAACCAUCAGCCCUGAGUAUCCUAGGUAUCUAGUUAUUCAAGUUUCUCUGAUUAGCCAACCAUCAUCCAAACCCUUCAGCUCUUCAUUGUGGCUUAUCUUCCUCUCUUCUUAAUCUGCUGAAUUCCAACAUUAAAAAAGGUUCAUCAUCAUUGCCUUUCCAUGCCAGCUCACAUGGAUAGGCUUUAACAACAUCUCCAUUUUUUGGACUGCAAAUAUUCAUCUUCCUUCGGUACGACACUGCCGUUUUGACAAUUUCGGUAGUUUCGCCCCUAGUGGACCACACACAACUACAUUUUCUUCGUCUUCCUGUCGUUGUUGUCUACGACUUCACCUCAUCGCUGUCUUCGUUGACGUCUUCGCCUUCAUCUCCAUCUCUUCGUCUUGGUCAUCUUCGCCUUCAUCUCCGUCUCGUCGUCUUGGUCAUCUUCGCGUUCAUCUCCGUCUCGUCGUCUUGGUCGUCUUCGCCUUCAUUUCCGUCUCGUCGUCUUUGCCGUCUUUGUCUACGCCAUCACCUCGUCGCCGGCUUCUCUUUCGCCCUUCACGUAGGGAAUUCACCGUGGAUCGUCGCUCUGGUAUUGUUUUAUUUUGCAUUGUUAUGUUUAAGUUAACCCGUUGGCUGCCACCCCGUUUGCGUCCCAUUUUUUUUGGUAGCUUGUAGGGACCGGCCGCAAUGGCCUUCGCCGCAAGGCGCCUUAGGCA